AAAAUACACACACACAUAUAUAUGUAUAUGAAGAUUUUGUAUAUGCGAUUAAAUUAAGGAUCUUGAGGUGUAGGUUGAGUUAUAUGAGCGAACCAGUGUAAUCACAAGGGUACUUAUAGGGAAAAAAGAGACACAAAGAGGCUGAGCAGGAGAUGCUUUGAUGAAAGCAGAACUUGAGCAAUGUCAUUGCAGAAAGAGCCCGCAAGCCCAGGGAAAAUCAGGCUGGAAAAAUCAAGGAACAGACAGCCCUCUACAGCCUCCGGAAGGAACAGAGCUUACCGAUGAGACAGCCAGGUGGGAGGGGGUCCCCAGAAAAACUCCAAGCAGCCUGCCCACUGGGGUAGAGCCCUGGGAAGUUCGUGCCCUUUGCAGAGGGGAGCCUGGCCCCUUCUCUUCCUGUGUGGAAUCUGGGAUUCAAGCUGCGGGUGGGAAGCGCUCGAGCACGGGACUCUAGCCUUGCAGAGGAUCCCUGUUUCCCCCCCUUUUUUUCCCUUUUCACCCAAUAAAACCCGACUUUACUCACCCUUUAAACCAUCUACGAGCCGAAAUUUUCGUGUCUGUGGGACAGACAAGCACCCCGUCUUUAGCUGAGCUAAGGAAAAGUUCUGCAACACCAACAUCUUGAUUUUAUCUCCUAUGAAAUCCACAUUGGUCUUCUGACCUCCAGAAAGCUAUGGUGCAGUAUGAUGACCACCAUCCCAGUCUGCCAAGGAAUGAGUAACUUCCUGCAAUUUAGGACUUUCGGCCCUAAAACCAGUACAGUCCUGGACACACUAAGAUUGUUGGUCACCCUAGAAGAAUGGAGAUCUGGCGGCUACCACUCACAUAUACUCGUAGAACAUUGAUUGCAAGGUAACUUACUGGCUGAAGCAGGUGAUGCAUUGCUUCGGUGGGGCUGAUGUCGAAAACCUUCAGCUUCCCAAGACAACACUGAUCAGGCCUCCAGGAGCAUUUCUCCUGCUCAGUGUCACAGGUAUGAGACAUGAGUCAUCUUCUCUGGAGUGGUUCUUCAAUGUAAUUUGGAAAAUGUUCUGGCUACCUAGUUAUAAAGCUUAAAUCUACAGCCACCCCAGGUAGUCCAUGAACUAUAAAAUGUCCUUACAUUUAUUUCCUUCCUAAUAAUGAAAUGAGUUAUGAUUUUUGCAACGACGAGUCAUGACUGAUACACUGUGAAAGUUGGAAAAUCAGUUUAUCUGAGCCUCAAUUUCAUCAUCUGCAAGAUGAGAAUAAUAAUGCCCUCCCCAGCUACCUUGGAAAGUUGCUAUGAAUCUCAAAAGGGAUGAUAUAUGUGAAAAUACAAUACCUGUAAAAUUCUGUAAAUAUGUUAGAUAAUUAUCAAAUAAUCCACUAGACAUGAUGGAAAGGUCUUUAGCCUGAAAAAUAAACUUUCUAACUUUUCGCAAAAUUGAUCUUGAAAAUAGUCUCAGGUUGCCUAGGUAACACAUUUUAUCCUGAUAAAUAGGUUUUGGUAUUUUUAUUGCAUCAUCUCUUAUAAACUUAUCCCCAAAUAACAUAUACUGAGGGAACAAAAGGGAAAAGUAUGUUGCCUUUUAUCAAAGCAUCUGAAAUAAUCCCUAUCUAUGAUUAA
rnacentral:lncRNA from 1 species